AUACGUAGGGGGCGAGCGUUGUCCGGAAUGAUUGGGCGUAAAGGGCGCGUAGGCGGCGCGGUAAGUCUGGAGUGAAAGUCCUGCUUUCAAGGUGGGAAUUGCUUUGGAUACUGCCGAGCUUGAGUGCAGGAGAGGUUAUCGGAAUUCCCGGUGUAGCGGUGAAAUGCGUAGAGAUCGGGAGGAACACCAGUGGCGAAGGCGGGUAACUGGACUGCAACUGACGCUGAGGCGCGAAAGUGUGGGGAGCAAACAGGAUUAGAUACCCUGGUAGUCCACACUGUAAACGAUGAAUGCUAGGUGUAAGAGGUAUCGACCCCUUUUGUGCCGGAGUCAACACAAUAAGCAUUCCGCCUGGGGAGUACGGCCGCAAGGUUGAAACUCAAAUGAAUUGACGGGG
rnacentral:rRNA from 1 species